UAUUCCAUCUCUGUUUUCAGAAUCUGAAUACCAGUUUCUUUUUUUUAUGUAAUAAAUCUUUGAAAAAAAAAGAGGAAGCCGAUGUUACACUGUAAUUCCUCUAACGUCUUAAUCAAUGUUUUGUGGAUAAAAAGAAAGAAAACCUGAACAUUGCUGCUCUAAGAUAUAAACUAGUUUUCUACUGUGUAAAUUCACGAUCUGAUCCAGAAUGAUGACAUUCUUUGGCGUGUUAUUUGAUUAAGUCUUUUUAAGGAAUUUGAGCAUAAUCACCUGAAUUGCCUAUGGUAUAUAAAUUCGGUGGAUGAACGAAACAUUUCUUUCCAAAAUUCUCAUUUUCUAAGAUGAUCGUAGAUUCCCUGUCAUUUCGUAGCUAGUAAAGUUACAAUUCUGGAAAGCUGAAUUAUUGAAUGCAACAUAUUAUCACACGUCACCUCCGUCCGUGACGAAUCUCGAAAACUUAGAGUCUUAUUUUCUUUCUCUAUCUAGUUAUUAACAGGACUAGUCAAUCCAUAAUGAAUACUUCCGACUACAAAAUCGUGCCGUAUGCUGAUAUAUGAGAAAUACAAAUAUUUGUCAUUCUGAAGUACAAAUUAAGAUAGAGAAAAGUGGGGAGAGGGAAGAAGGGAGUGAGAAAGGGGUGUACAGAGAGGGAGGGUGAAAGGGAGAGUGGCCGAACUAAGCCAGUUAAGAGUGGCCGAACCAAGCGAAAUUAAGUCAUUUCCAUAGCAAUUCUGCUGUUGGGAUAUCUGAGUUAGUUUUUACAGACACCUCAAUUCCUCUCGUCUUGGACUUUCAUUCUGCUUUCUGAAGCACUCACCGCAAUCCAUGUCUCGCUACCAUUUAAUCAUUUUCUUCUUGGUCACCGUCUUACCUUCUAUUUUCAUGACUGAAUUUUCAAGUAUCUUAAUCCUUCUACUGAUGCAAUUGAACAAUUUUAUUUUCUUCGUCUUGUUGAUUCUUUCUCACUUUUCAACCGACGCAUUCUACCACUUAAUUUACUAUUCUCACUUUGAUUCACUCUAAAUUCAUGUGUUUAUAUAUUUCAGUUGUACGUAAAUCAACAUUGUCAGUUAUAUAAAAACUUUCAUACCCGUGUCGUCAAAAAUGCCGACAGUUUUAUUAGUGAUGGAAAAUGGACAUCAACACAAUGGGGGGUGGGGAAACCAUUAAUAAAUGUCUGCAAUCUCAUAAAUAUAUCUACAGACACAGAAUUGAAGCACUUGAAGAAUCAAAUACGAUUGUAACGUCUUGCUUGAAAAUAUCACCCACAUAAUGUAUGUGUGAGUAUCGACACAUAAAACACAGAUCGAUGAAAUCAGUAAAAUAUGUUAUCCAUUACUUGAAGAAAAGAAAUAGGGCUUGUAUCAAAAAGGGCAAGCAAGGAAGAAGGACUAAAACGAAAGGAAAGAAAUGAAAAUCGAGCAAUCACAUUGAGGCUUCCCUCGUUGCUGUUGUUAUAGCUGGUUUAAAUCUUGGUGGAUAUGCACAAGUAACUAUAAGAAUAUCGUCUAAAGUACUGAGAGAAGCGAAUAAAGGCGGCAGUGCUAAAACAACGUACGUGCAAACAACCAUUUUUACUUGAAAUGAAAUGAAGGAACAUCUGUACAGAAUUUUCUGCAAAUCAUGAAGAUGUGCUGACUAUACUAUGCUAAUGGGAUCUAACAGGGCGAAAAAUAUCCACACUUAUUCCUUAGCUGCAAGCUAAGGUCAAACUUUUAUUCUUCCAAUAUGUUUAUUUAAGAGAGUAAUUCUUAAUUCCUUGAGAUUAUCUUCCCCUUUUCUUUGCUAGUCACUAACAAUUGUUGAUAAGUUGUGUGUUUUUUCUCUCUCGAACUUAAAAAGAAAUUUUAAAUAAUCAAGAAUUUUUUGCUCACAGCAUUCAAUACAUCACCUCUUAACUUUCAAAAAAACGCAGAAUAUUUAGUUCGUUGUUCUUUAAAUUGUGAAAAUAGUAACAAUAUCUUUACAUUGAUAUAAUGCCAAAAAUUGUUCACAUUGGCUUUAUCUCGUAUUCGAGAAUUUAGUUUCUUUGCCGAACACAUCCUUUAUGGUGAUGGCGUUGAUGACUAAAUAGACCAAUUCUUGCAUAGAAAAGUCGAUGUCACUGACUGCAUGGUAAUGUUGGUGGCAGACGAGGUUGAUUUUGUCAAGCCUUUCUUUCCUGCCGUUUGAUUUCUUCCUUUUCCCUUCUGGUUGCUUCGAAGAUUUUGUUUCCGAUGGUGAUGGAACACUGCCACUUGGCACCGUCUCGAACUGCUUACAACUGUGAAAAAAAAUACAUACUGUACCCAGUAUAUUCAUGGGACAACCACUCAUGACAGAAAUGGUAAAGCCAACCCUAGUAUUAAACGCGAAAAGAUAAAACUAAAAUAGUUUAUAGAAUUUAGUCCACCUGUUUACAGUUUCUGCUUCAACUAUUAAUAAAGCGUCCGAUGCGGUGACCUGGCAGAACCGUUUACAUGUCGGACAAAAUGCUAAGUGACAUUCCGUUCGUCUUUGCGUUCUAAGUUCAAAUUCCAUUGCAGUCGACUUUGCCUUUCAUCCUUUCGAGGUCAAUUAAAUAAGCACCAGACAAGUACUAAGACCGAUGUAAUCGACUUAUCUCUCUGCUCAAAAACUGCUGACCUGUGCCAAAAAUUGAAACUAUUAUUAAUAAAGCAGUCGGCCAAAUUCCUUGAGGUUUUGAGCAACAUAUUUAUUCGUUCUGUGUUAAAAUACCACCAAAGUUGACAGCGCCGUUUUUUUUUCUUCUGGUGCUGAUAAAAAAGGCAAUAGUCGCAUAAGUUCUUAAGCGACUAUACCCAGUGGCGUAGCUAGGGUAAACCGCGCCCGGGGCAAGCCGCAAAAAUGUGCCCCCCUCCAUUACAAAAUCCACAAUAUUAUAUAGUACUUAUUUGUUACAAGUAAUUAAUGUUUUAAAGCAAUAUUUUACCAGGGUUCAUUUACCUGCCGAUUCUGUACAGCCUGUAAUCCAAGAUAUAUUUUUUGAACGUUUACUUUUACGAAACCUCCUUAUUUGAACCAUUUAAAGCAUCAGCCAGCUUCUCCGAUUGUAACAUUAAAAAA